GAGUUUGAUCAUGGCUCAGAUUGAACGCUGGCGGCAGGCCUAACACAUGCAAGUUGAGCGCGAAAACACUUCGGUGUGAGUAGAGCGGCGGACGGGUGAGUAACGCGUAGGAAUCUACCUGGUAGUGGGGGACAACAUGGUGAAAACCAUGCUAAUACCGCAUACGACCUAAGGGUGAAAGUGGGGGACCUUCGGGCCUCACGCUAUCGGAUGAGCCUGCGUAGGAUUAGCUUGUUGGUGAGGUAAAGGCUCACCAAGGCGACGAUCCUUAGCUGGUCUGAGAGGAUGAUCAGCCACACUAGAACUGAGACACGGUCCAGACUCCUACGGGAGGCAGCAGUGGGGAAUAUUGCGCAAUGGGCGAAAGCCUGACGCAGCCAUGCCGCGUGUGUGAAGAAGGCCUUAGGGUUGUAAAGCACUUUCAAUUGGGAAGAAAAGCUCAGUGUUAAUAGCACUGAGCCCUGACAUUACCUUUAGAAGAAGCACCGGCUAACUCCGUGCCAGCAGCCGCGGUAAUACGGAGGGUGCGAGCGUUAAUCGGAAUUACUGGGCGUAAAGCGCGCGUAGGCGGUUUGUUAAGUCAGCUGUGAAAGCCCCGGGCUCAACCUGGGAACUGCAGUUGAUACUGGCCGACUAGAGUACGAGAGGGAGGUAGAAUUCCAUGUGUAGCGGUGAAAUGCGUAGAUAUAUGGAGGAAUACCAGUGGCGAAGCGGCCUCCUGGCUCGAUACUGACGCUGAGGUGCGAAAGCGUGGGGAUCAAACAGGAUUAGAUACCCUGGUAGUCCACGCCGUAAACGAUGUCUACUAGCCGUUGGGAGACUUGAUUUCUUAGUGGCGCAGCUAACGCAAUAAGUAGACCGCCUGGGGAGUAUGGCCGCAAGGUUAAAACUCAAAUGAAUUGACGGGGGCCCGCACAAGCGGUGGAGCAUGUGGUUUAAUUCGAUGCAACGCGAAGAACCUUACCAGGUCUUGACAUCCUGAGAACUUUCUAGAGAUAGAUUGGUGCCUUCGGGAACUCAGAGACAGGUGCUGCAUGGCUGUCGUCAGCUCGUGUCGUGAGAUGUUGGGUUAAGUCCCGUAACGAGCGCAACCCUUGUCCUUAGUUGCCAGCACAUAAUGGUGGGAACUCUAAGGAGACUGCCGGUGACAAACCGGAGGAAGGUGGGGACGACGUCAAGUCAUCAUGGCCCUUACGACCUGGGCUACACACGUGCUACAAUGGAACGCACAGAGGGCAGCAAACCCGCGAGGGGGAGCGAAUCCCACAAAACGUUUCGUAGUCCGGAUUGGAGUCUGCAACUCGACUCCAUGAAGUCGGAAUCGCUAGUAAUCGUGGAUCAGAAUGCCACGGUGAAUACGUUCCCGGGCCUUGUACACACCGCCCGCCACACCAUGGGGGUGGGUUGCAAAAGAAGUGGGUAGACUAACCUUCGGGAGGUCGCUCACCACUUUGUGAUUCAUGACUGGGGUGAAGUCGUAACAAGGUA
rnacentral:rRNA from 1 species